UACAGAGGUCCCAAGCGUUGUUCGGAUUCAUUGGGCGUAAAGGGUGCGUAGGCGGCGCGGUAAGUCGGGUGUGAAAUCUCGGAGCUUAACUCCGAAACUGCAUUCGAUACUGCCGUGCUUGAGGACUGGAGAGGAGACUGGAAUUUACGGUGUAGCGGUGGAAAUGCGUAGAUAUCGUAAGGAAGACCAGUGGCGAAGGCGGGUCGUCUG
rnacentral:rRNA from 1 species